AUUGAACGCUGGCGGCAUGCUUUACACAUGCAAGUCGAACGGUAACAGGGUGCUUGCACCGCUGACGAGUGGCGAACGGGUGAGUAAUGCGUCGGAACGUGCCGAGUAGUGGGGGAUAACGCAUCGAAAGGUGUGCUAAUACCGCAUACGUACUGAGGUAGAAAGUGGGGGACCUUCGGGCCUCACGCUAUUCGAGCGGCCGACGUCUGAUUAGCUAGUUGGUGAGGUAAAGGCUCACCAAGGCGACGAUCAGUAGCGGGUCUGAGAGGAUGAUCCGCCACACUGGGACUGAGACACGGCCCAGACUCCUACGGGAGGCAGCAGUGGGGAAUUUUGGACAAUGGGCGCAAGCCUGAUCCAGCCAUGCCGCGUGUCUGAAGAAGGCCUUCGGGUUGUAAAGGACUUUUGUCCGGGAGCAAAUGCCUGGUGUUAAUAGCACUGGGAGCUGAGAGUACCGGAAGAAUAAGCACCGGCUAACUACGUGCCAGCAGCAGCCGCGGUAA
rnacentral:rRNA from 1 species